UACAGAGGGUGCGAGCGUUAAUCGGAAUUACUGGGCGUAAAGCGCACGUAGGCGGCUUGGUAUGUCGGGUGUGAAAUCCCCGGGCUCAACCUGGGAACUGCAUCCGAAACUGCCUUGCUAGAGUAUGGGAGAGGGAAGUGGAAUUUCCGGUGUAGCGGUGAAAUGCGUAGAUAUCGGAAGGAACAUCAGUGGCGAAGGCGACUUCCUGGACCAGCACUGACACUGAGGCACGAAAGCGUGGGGAGCAAACAGG
rnacentral:rRNA from 1 species